UUAAUGAGAGUUUGAUCCUGGCUCAGGACGAACGCUGGCGGCGUGCCUAAUACAUGCAAGUAGAACGCUGAGGUUUGGUGUUUACACUAGACUGAUGAGUUGCGAACGGGUGAGUAACGCGUAGGUAACCUGCCUCAUAGCGGGGGAUAACUAUUGGAAACGAUAGCUAAUACCGCAUAAGAGUAAUUAACACAUGUUAGUUAUUUAAAAGGAGCAAUUGCUUCACUGUGAGAUGGACCUGCGUUGUAUUAGCUAGUUGGUGAGGUAAAGGCUCACCAAGGCGACGAUACAUAGCCGACCUGAGAGGGUGAUCGGCCACACUGGGACUGAGACACGGCCCAGACUCCUACGGGAGGCAGCAGUAGGGAAUCUUCGGCAAUGGACGGAAGUCUGACCGAGCAACGCCGCGUGAGUGAAGAAGGUUUUCGGAUCGUAAAGCUCUGUUGUUAGAGAAGAACGUUGGUAGGAGUGGAAAAUCUACCAAGUGACGGUAACUAACCAGAAAGGGACGGCUAACUACGUGCCAGCAGCCGCGGUAAUACGU
rnacentral:rRNA from 1 species